UACGUAGGGGGCAAGCGUUGUCCGGAAUCAUUGGGCGUAAAGAGCGUGUAGGCGGCCCGGUAAGUCUGUUGUGAAAGUCCAGGGCUCAACCCUGGAAAGCCGAUGGAUACUGCCGGGCUAGAGUUCGGAAGAGGCGAGUGGAAUUCCUGGUGUAGCGGUGGAAUGCGCAGAUAUCAGGAGGAACACCAAUUGCGAAGGCAGCUCGCUGGGACGUAACUGACGCUGAGACGCGAAAGCGUGGGGAGCAAACAGG
rnacentral:rRNA from 1 species